ensembl:lncRNA
GAAAUGAACCUAGGGAGGUAGUCAAAGGCCAUAACCACCAGUGCCUGAUAGACCUAAUUUAUAAGUUUGGACUUUAUCCUAAGAGCAACGGAAAGCAGCUAGAAGAUAUAAGGACCUUACUAUGUGUAUAUUUGUGUUUUUGUAGAUGGUCAGAAUUACAAAAUUUAAUGGAUCUUUCUAUGUAUUUGAAAACCUCAUACAAAAUUCCAUGGGAAUCCACAAUCAUUCUCAUAUGAGAUUUUAUCCAGAGGAAAUUAAGGCUGGGAGAUGCAGUGGAGAAUCACGUUAGGUUGAAGGAGAAAAUGGGAGACCUUGCCAAGCCACGAGACAAAUAUUCACCAAACGGUCAAAGGGCCUUAUUGAGAUGACAACCUGUGAACGCAUGUAUGUGGCUUGAAUACAGAAACUUGUGGAGCAAUCAAGUCAGUCACUUGUGCCAUCUUACCAGUUGUGUUGUUUACUGGCUUUGCGGCCUCAGAGUUUAAUAUCUGUGACUGGGCUGAUUCAGUGGGGGUUUCUACAGCUGAAAUAUGUCCCCUAUGCUGUAAUCCUAUUUUGUCAUAGCAACAGGCUUUAACCCUCUCCUAACCAGGAUCCGGUAUAGCUGGGCUGGGAAGGUUUGGUCUUUCUUCUGUCUUGCAGCCGAGAUAGCAGCAUUUGAACAGGAAGACAAAGCGAAUCUGUAGUACUUAGGAUCUGAGAUUAGUUUAACAGAAGCUCCGGUACCAACUAACCAUUCUGGUACUGUGUUCCUCUACCUUCUUCCUUCAUUCCUAGUCUGCCAAUGCUCUUUUUGGUCUAUUCUCUCUUAGUCGAGUGGGAGAUGUCGAGACAAAGAAGCUCAAAUUGUGUUUAGUCCAAGCCUUUGCCAAAUUUCUUCUCUACCUCGUUCAAUGCAUGGAUGCUCUGUGGACUUUUUAAUUCCUUAAGAUGAUCAUGUUCUUACUUGACAUAGAUGUUUAAUAGCUGGACUCACAUGAUCACAUUACAGACAUUUGAGAGAUGGGAAGAAAAUUACUCACACUGCUGUCAUAUUUCCUUCAAUUAUUUUUUUUCUAUAUCAGCUUUUUAAUUCUAUGUAAUUUUAAGUAGUAUACAUAGGAUUUAUAUAGAUAGCCUUUUUCUCUUAGUGUGUCAUCUCCUUUCCUCAUAUUUCCCAUAGCUUUUAUGGUUAUCCUAUUUCCAAAAGAAGAGGCAAUUAAAGGAAACACCAUCAGGAUUCCUUUAACAAGUAUCCUAUCCUAUACUAUACUUACUUGGGAAUAGUAGUUUAUGACUGUUGCCAUUUGAUAUUAUAAACAUAUUUUCACCAGUGGGAAGGAACGACCACUAUAUCUCAGAAACAGUGCUACCGUGGGUACAUCUCUGUGUGUUCAGUACCAGGCCUUUCUGCAGGGCACCCACCUGGGAGGGGUGUGGCUCUGUACUCUCUAGUAAAUGCCCCCUCCCCUUGUGUUUGAGCCUGUUCGUGUACAUAUGUCCUUCUAUUUGGUAGACAACAUGUGUCAAAAUAAUACACAAUUAUGAUGUAAAUUUAAAAAGAGCAGGGAGAGCAAAUGAGAGGCAGACAAGCAGAGCAUCCCUUUUCCUAGUUGCCGUAUGUAGUUAGAGAAAAGAAUAGUCUUAUAACGAACUGUGUUAAGUGCACAAAAAGGUGCCACUUUUACCCCAAUUUUUUUUUUCAUGAGUUUAAUAGCAUUUUUACUUAAGGUCUUUCCCCUAGGAAAAAAUGAUGUAGAAUGUUAGGGUGGAGGGCCAGGGAAGGUGUAUUUUAAGUCUCUGAUUCAUUAUGUUAGUUGUAAAAAUUGCUACCAAGGAACAGUGAAUAAAUUUUUAUUGGGAAAACUGAGUAUUGCUUUC